AUGAGCUGGGCUCUUCUCCUCCUUUGCCUCCUCAGUCAGGGCACAGGGAUCUGGGCCCAGUCAGCCCUGUCUCAACCUCCCUCAAUGUCUGGGACACCGGGACAGACAGUGUCCAUCACCUGUCAAGGAACCAGCAAUGACAUUGGAGGAUAUAGUUAUGUUUCCUGGUACCAGCAGCAGGAGCACACAGCCCCCAAACUGCUGAUUUAUUAUGUCAACCGUCGGCCCUCAGGGAUCCCCGAUCGAUUCUCAGGCUCCAAGGCUGGCAACACAGCAUCCCUGACCAUCUCUGGGGUCAUGCCUGAGGACGAGGCUGAUUAUUAUUGUGCCUCAUAUACGAUCAGCCCUGUCUCAGGCUCCCUCAAUGUCUGGGACACCGGGACAGACAGUCUCCAUCACCUGUCAAGGAACCAGCAAUGACAUUGGGAGAUAUGA